rnacentral:rRNA from 1 species
GACGAACGCUGGCGGCGUGCCUAAUACAUGCAAGUAGGACGCUGAAGAGAGGAGCUUGCUCUUCUUGGAUGAGUUGCGAACGGGUGAGUAACGCGUAGGUAACCUGCCUAGUAGCGGGGGAUAACUAUUGGAAACGAUAGCUAAUACCGCAUAAAAUUGAUUAUUGCAUGAUAAUUAAUUGAAAGAUGCAACUGCAUCACUACCAGAUGGACCUGCGUUGUAUUAGCUAGUUGGUGAGGUAACGGCUCACCAAGGCGACGAUACAUAGCCGACCUGAGAGGGUGAUCGGCCACACUGGGACUGAGACACGGCCCAGACUCCUACGGGAGGCAGCAGUAGGGAAUCUUCGGCAAUGGGGGGAACCCUGACCGAGCAACGCCGCGUGAGUGAAGAAGGUUUUCGGAUCGUAAAGCUCUGUUGUAAGAGAAGAACGGGUGUGAGAGUGGAAAGUUCACACUGUGACGGUAGCUUACCAGAAAGGGACGGCUAACUACGUG